rnacentral:rRNA from 1 species
GUUAGCCGGAGCCUAAGUCGAGGCCGAAAGGCGUAGACGAUGGACAGCAGGUUAAUAUUCCUGCGCCGGUUCUGUGGACCGAAGAGGGGACGGCGUUUGGAUCGCGAGGGGACUGUUAGAAAUGUCCCUGGCCGCAAGGCUAACCCCGUUUACGAUGGGUAUGUCGCGUGAAGGACGUCCAAGAAAAGCCUCGUAGGGUUGAAGCAGACCGUCCGUACUAAAACUGACACAGGUAGGCGAGACGAGUAGUCUAAGGCGCUCGGGAGAACAUUGGUUAAGGAACUCUGCAAAUUGAUCCCGUAAGUUCGCGAUAAGGGAUGCCUACGCGAGUAGGCCACAGUAAAUCGGUUCCAGCGACUGUUUAUCAAAAACACAGGACUCUGCUAACACGCAAGUGGAUGUAUAGAGUCUGACGCCUGCCCGGUGCUGGUAGGUUAAGGUAAGAGGUUAGUUCAUUAGAGCGAAGCUUUUGACCGAAGCCCCAGUAAACGGCGGCCG